AAGCGGAGGAAAAGAAACCAACAGGGAUUGCCUCAGUAACGGCGAGUGAAGCGGCAACAGCUCAAAUUUGAAAUCUGGCGUCUUCGGCGCCCGAGUUGUAAUUUGCAGAGGAUGCUUCGGCGUAGGCGCCGCCCAAAGUUCCUUGGAACGGGACGUCGCAGAGGGUGAGAGCCCCGUGUUCGGGCGGAUGCCGUCGCCAUGUGAAGCUCCUUCGACGAGUCGAGUUGUUUGGGAAUGCAGCUCAAAACGGGAGGUAAAUUUCUUCCAAAGCUAAAUACCGGCCGGAGACCGAUAGUGCACAAGUAGAGUGAUCGAAAGAUGAAAAGCACUUUGGAAAGAGAGUCAAACAGCGCGUGAAAUUGUUAAAAGGGAAGCGCUUGCGGUCAGAACUUGGCCGCCGUUGCUCGGGGAGGUCUCGCGCCUCCCUCGCUCUUCGGCGGCUGGGCCAGCAUCGGUUCGGGCGGCUCGAGAAAGGUCGUGGGAACGUAGCUCCCUCCGGGGAGUGUUAUAGCCCGCGGCGCAAUAGGGCCCGCCUGGACCGAGGUCUGCGCAUCUGCUCGGAUGCUGGCGUAAUGGCCCCAAGCGGCCCGUCUUGAAACACGGACCAAGGAGUCUAACAUUCGUGCGAGUGUUCGGGCGUUAAACCCGUGCGCGCAAUGAAAGUGAACGUAGGUGGGAGCCCCUUGUGGGUGCACCAUCGACCGAUCCAAAUGUUUUCGGAUGGAUUUGAGUAUGAGCACGUAUGUUGGGACCCGAAAGAUGGUGAACUAUGCCUAAACAGGGCGAAGCCAGAGGAAACUCUGGUGGAGGCUCGCAGCGGUUCUGACGUGCAAAUCGAUCGUCAAAUUCGGGCAUAGGGGCGAAAGACUAAUCGA
rnacentral:rRNA from 1 species